rnacentral:lncRNA from 1 species
CAAGGUCUUUUUGAAGAUUGCAGAUUCUGAAGUAGGAGAAUAGUGUAACUGCCAUUAGGGAUAUUGCUCAUAAUAUAGAAUAACUUUACUUACCAAUGUGGUAAGAUUGUAAUGACUCUAAAAACUGGACCAUCUUGCAAGGAUUAAGACACAUUAAGAAGAGCUAUCAGUUAAGGGCCAAAAUUGUAUUUAUCAUGUUCUUGAAGCAGGAAACUCUAUCUUAUGAUUCAAGAUUCAUCGAUACAUGAUGCAUGCCCUGACAUGCAGUUUUGGCUAAAUUAGCUAUUUUAGCUAAUUAGAAAUUAACUUACUGUCUAAAAGGAGAACUGAAGUGUUUUUCUGUUGUAGCAGCAAGAAACAUGUAAAUAGUCAGCAUCUUGACCUUACUUUUAGAUAGUAGUCUUUCUCAGGUCAAUUUCAUUUAUUCAUUCAACAAAUAUUAGUUGAGAACCUAUUACAUGUAGAGGAUUAUUAACUUUAUUUGUUCAUUUGUUUAUUUACUUAAUAUAAUACUGUAGAGAAAUAUCAUUCUAGGCUCAUUUCUCUUUUUCCUUUCUUUAAAGCUUUAGUUAAUAAGUUCUAAGUUCUUACAAAAACUUAAAAUCAUCAGAAAUGACCAGGAAGGAUGAAGCCAGAUUCAUCUGGGAGAAAUCAGUUAACACUUCCUAGAAAAGAUGGCAUUCGUGUUGCAUAUUCAAAGUGCCCAUCAAUUUGAUACUUUGAGGUAAAUUCUGGUCUGUAUCGACAGUAGAGGCUCAAAGCAUAUUCAAGCAACACUAAAAACUAACUUGACUGGAUCAUUGAAUUUCUUUUUUUUUUUUUUUUUUUUUGGUNCCCGUCUAGGGACUGAAGUUGCAGGGGCGGUCUGAGCUUGGUAGCUCUAACACUUGGUGUGGCGUGUUGGGUUUGGAUUGUAAUUCAAAUGGUCUGCAGUAGAGCCUGUCUCAAUCAUAUGGUCUUUUCCACAUAUAGCUUGAUCGGUUGACCUAAUACUGCCAUAAGAUUGGGUCAGUUUCUUAGUCAUUUUAAUGAAAGUGAAUAGUACAAAAAAUGACUUUUUCACAGUUNAUUGAGAAGUGAGUUCAAAUACACACAGUCCAAAUAGACAUUGGCGCUCUGGUUUGUGCAGAGUUUUCCAGGCCCUCAGUUGAAUCGUCUUUUGUGUGGUGGUGGGGGGAGGACAGGUGGGUUGUGGGAUAUUUCUUUUUUUUUUUUUUGUCUUUUUGCCAUUUCUGGGGCCGCUCCCGCGGUGUAUGGAGGUUCCCAGGCUAGGGAUCUAAUCUGAGCUAUCGCCGCCAGCCUGCGCCAGAGCCAUAGCAAGGCGGGGAUCCGAGCUGCGUCUGCGACCUGCACCACAGCUCACGGUAACACCGGAUCCUUAACCCACUGAGCAAGGGCAGGGAUUGAACCCGCAACCUCAUGGUUCCUAGUCGAAUUUGUUAACCACUGCACCACGAUGGGAACUCCAGUGGGAUAUUUCUGAGCUCAGUCGGAUUAGUAAUUCCUGGUGAUAAAGCUAUGGAAGCCAUUAUCCAGACUGGGCACUUUUGGCAUUUAGCAAUUAGAAAGGCUUUUAAACUAGGGUAAAGGGAAAAUUUCUUUUUAAUUAACUCAUCUAGUCUGUAAACAAAGUGAAUCGGGGACAUUCUGGAAGUUGCUCUAUGUGAUGGAGGGGGUUGGAACUCCAGCUUUGCUGGAAGUCUGUUAUCCUGAGCCAAAGCUCACUAGGUCAGCUUUGCCAAUGGUCUGAAACAGGAGAGAAGCUGUGACCACUUAGGAGAAAGAAUAAUGGCUUUCAGAGAAGACCAUUCUCAGAUUCACGUAUUGAUCUUUUCUUCAAGCUUUUUGAAUUGUCUAUGAAAAUGUGUGUUGAACUUACUUAAGUUUUAAUAAGUUAGUGAGAAAAUCUUGAAUAAUUUUAUUCCUUGGGUAGAAGCUGAACUGGAUGAACUAUUGUUAUGGUUUAGGUUUUUCAGAUGCCUUACUUACUUACGCAGUCCUAUCUUUAGCAAAUUUUAAUGUGUGUGUAAUCCAGGUGGAAGAUAAUAUGGGAAGUGUGUUAUGAAGUUUAUUAUGACCAAUUCCUUGCUUUCUCCUCAGCUAUAAGAAAUGUUCUAUCACAACCUUAUAAAUCAGCUGGACUUCAAUAAAACUUUAAAAAAUGAAAAUAUUCCUAAUUCUCAAAAGUUACAACGGUUUUAUAUUUUAAACCAAAUCUUUAUUUCAGUUUGUCAUGUUUCACUGGUGCGGGGAGCCAAGAAGAUGCAGGGACUCAAAAAAAAGGACCUUGCCUGAUGGCAAAAAAAACCCUCAAGGCAGGUUCCUAACCAAGGAAGGGAGCUCACCUGAAUGGUACAAGCCGAAGGUGGGCUUCUGGUCAGGAUGAAAGCCUGCCUGUACGGUACAAGCCGAGGGCAGGCCUCAGGUUACACAGCUCUCAUUUUGAUGUUUAUGGGGAAGAAUUUCCAUGUUUGCAAUUUCCAUGUUUGCGCUGGAGAACAUGGAUUGUUUCUCGGGUGACCUAGUCUUUCCUGUUGUUUUAUUUGUUAUUCAGUUUUCCUCAGUCUUUCCUGAUCAUUUGCUUAUUAUUCUUAUUUUCCUGUGGUGAUUUGUGACUUAACAAAGUUACAACGAUAAUAUAAUAAGAAUUUCAUCCUGAAGGACUUUCCUCUAUUUAAAUCCAACUUAAUUAAAACAUAGUGUUUAUCUACUAACUAGUUAUACAGUAAAUUUUAGAGUUAGGAUUUUAAUGAGGUUCUUAGAAGUUAAACAUAUAUUAUUCUUGAUCAAAAGACACCUAGCUAUGAGUUAUAGAAGAUUUUAAGUGGUAGCUAGUUAAGUUGGUUUAUAUUUUCUUACACUGUCUCCUUGCCAUAACGCUUUAAAGAUAAGCACCAGUCUAAAAACAAGAUUUGUGAAUGCCAAAUUCUUGUGUCUGUGACCUCUUCAACUUGUGGAGACUGGCUGGCCAUGGAAUGAUUUGUACUGAGUCUCCUCCUUUCCACAUGAUGUAUUGUACCUAAUUGCCCUUAAAUUGUACUCACUAAAUUUAGUUAAGAUAAAGAUCUUAGAACGUGAUGUAUAGCUGCUGUACCAUGUAAAAGUUAACCGAUGUACUUUUAACACUACGAUGUAAUCUGUAGUUAGAAACUGUCUAUAUAGUCAACCACUUAUGCCAAUAAAAUUUGAGCAGUCCAGUGCCCUGAAAGAAGCGACAAAGAGGCUGUCUCCGUGUGCAUCAGCUGACGCGUGUCCCUCUCCUUUGGGGAAAAGUGUACACUCCCUGGCCACCGGAGCUGGCCUCCGGCACACUGGUAAUGCAAACACACAAACAGACUCCACAGUUUUCAAUAUAGAGUGACUUUAUGACUUGUUUGAAAUAAAUACAUUAAUUGCAUUAAAUGUUCCCAUUGGCAAAGUUUUAUUUCUAAAAUAGAAGGUCAUCUUUGGAGUUCCUUCUGUGGCUCAGAGGGUUGAGAACCCAACUAAUAUACAUGAGGAAGCGGGUUCUGUCCCUGGCCUCAAUGAGUUAAGGAUUCAGCCUUGCUGCGGGCUGAGGCGUAGGUCACAGUUGUGUCUUGGAUC